GGAGGUGGAUGGGGACCGGUGUCUCUCCCGGCCUUCAAAGCCGCGUGUGCCCCGGCAGACCGGGGCAGGUGGGUUCGACUCCCACGCACCUCCG
rnacentral:tRNA from 1 species